AAGCUUUCAUGUGCAUGCACACUUCUUCACAUAGCUUCAGAUAACAGGUAUCUGAAGAAGUGUGCAUGCACAUGAAAGCUU